CAGCCGCCGCGGUAAUACAGAGGAUGCAAGCGUUAUCCGGAAUGAUUGGGCGUAAAGGGCGCGUAGGCGGACAGUUCAGUCGGGGGUGAAAGCCCGGGGCUCAACCUCGGAAUUGCCUUCGAUACUGGCUGUCUUGAGUACGAGAGAGGUGUGUGGAACUCCGAGUGUAGAGGUGAAAUUCGUAGAUAUUCGGAAGAACACCAGUGGCGAAGGCGACACACUGGCUCAUUACUGACGCUGAGGCGCGAAAGCGUGGGGAGCAAACAGGAUUAGAUACCCCCGUAGUCCCUGUCUCUUAUAA
rnacentral:rRNA from 1 species